GCGAAGAACCUUACCAGGCCUUGACAUGCUAGGGAACCCUGGGUGAGAGACCUGGGGUGCCCUGCGAGGGGAGGCCCUAGCACCAGGUGCUGCAUGGCCGUCGUCAGCUCGUGUCGUGAAAUGUUGGGUUAAGUCCCGCAACGAGCGCAACCCCUGCCGUUAGUUGCCAGCGGGUGAAGCCGGGCACUCUAGCGGGACUGCCUGCGAAAGCAGGAGGAAGGCGGGGACGACGUCUGGUCAUCAUGGCCCUUACGGCCUGGGCGACACACGUGCUACAAUGCCCACUACAGAGCGAGGCGACCUGGCGACAGGGAGCGAAUCGCAAAAAGGUGGGCGUAGUUUGGAUUGGGUCUGCAACCCGACCCCAUGAAGCCGGAAUCGCUAGUAAUCACGGAUCAGCCAUGCCGCGGUGAAUACGUUCCCGGGCCUUGUACACACCGCCCGUCACGCCAUGGGAGCGGGUUCUACCCGAAGUCGCCGGGAGCCUUAGGGCAGCCGCCGAGGGUAGGGCCCGUGACUGGGGCGAAGUCGUAACCAGGUAA
rnacentral:rRNA from 1 species